rnacentral:rRNA from 1 species
GAUGAACGCUGGCGGCGUGCUUAACACAUGCAAGUCGAACGAAGCACUCUAUUUGAUUUUCUUCGGAAAUGAAGAUUUUGUGACUGAGUGGCGGACGGGUGAGUAACGCGUGGGUAACCUGCCUCAUACAGGGGGAUAACAGUUGGAAACGACUGCUAAUACCGCAUAAGCGCACAGGAUUGCAUGAUCCGGUGUGAAAAACUCCGGUGGUAUGAGAUGGACCCGCGUCUGAUUAGCCAGUUGGCAGGGUAACGGCCUACCAAAGCGACGAUCAGUAGCCGGCCUGAGAGGGUGACCGGCCACAUUGGGACUGAGACACGGCCCAAACUCCUACGGGAGGCAGCAGUGGGGAAUAUUGCACAAUGGGGGAAACCCUGAUGCAGCGACGCCGCGUGAGCGAAGAAGUAUUUCGGUAUGUAAAGCUCUAUCAGCAGGGAAGAAAGUGACGGUACCUGAAUAAGAAGCCCCGGCUAACUACGUGCCAGCAGCCGCGGUAAUACGUAGGGGGCAAGCGUUAUCCGGAUUUACUGGGUGUAAAGGGAGCGUAGACGGCAAGGCAAGUCUGAAGUGAAAGCCCGGUGCUUAACGCCGGGACUGCUUUGGAAACUGUUUGGCUGGAGUGCCGGAGAGGUAAGCGGAAUUCCUAGUGUAGCGGUGAAAUGCGUAGAUAUUAGGAGGAACACCAGUGGCGAAGGCGGCUUACUGGACGGUAACUGACGUUGAGGCUCGAAAGCGUGGGGAGCAAAC